rnacentral:rRNA from 1 species
GACGAACGCUGGCGGCGUGCCUAAUACAUGCAAGUUGAGCGAUGAAGAUUGGUGCUUGCACCAAUUUGAAGAGCAGCGAACGGGUGAGUAACGCGUGGGGAAUCUGCCUUUGAGCGGGGGACAACAUUUGGAAACGAAUGCUAAUACCGCAUAACAACUUUAAACAUAAGUUUUAAGUUUGAAAGAUGCAAUUGCAUCACUCAAAGAUGAUCCCGCGUUGUAUUAGCUAGUUGGUGAGGUAAAGGCUCACCAAGGCGAUGAUACAUAGCCGACCUGAGAGGGUGAUCGGCCACAUUGGGACUGAGACACGGCCCAAACUCCUACGGGAGGCAGCAGUAGGGAAUCUUCGGCAAUGGACGAAAGUCUGACCGAGCAACGCCGCGUGAGUGAAGAAGUUUUUCGGAUCGUAAAACUCUGUUGGUAGAGAAGAACGUUGGUGAGAGUGGAAAGCUCAUCAAGUGACGGUAACUACCCAGAAAGGGACGGCUAACUACGUG